AUAAACCUUCUUCUGCUCAUUCUUCUCCUUCAUCUUUUCCUUUUAUUCCUCCUGCUGAGCAUACCACUGACACAAAUUUUUCUAUACAUGCUUCAUCUCCUCCUUCCCCUACAUUUGAUCCAGCCCCUAAUUCUACUGUUCCUGCUUUUACUGAUACUGAUCCAGCUCCCCUUCCUUCUUUCAAUCAUGAUAUCUCUCCUCCUGUUUU
rnacentral:lncRNA from 1 species